rnacentral:rRNA from 1 species
AUUGAACGCUGGCGGCAGGCCUAACACAUGCAAGUCGAACGGUAACAGGAAGAUGCUUGCUUCUUUGCUGACGAGUGGCGGACGGGUGAGUAAUGUCUGGGAAACUGCCUGAUGGAGGGGGAUAACUACUGGAAACGGUAGCUAAUACCGCAUAAUGUCGCAAGACCAAAGAGGGGGACCUUCGGGCCUCUUGCCAUCGGAUGUGCCCAGAUGGGAUUAGCUAGUAGGUGGGGUAACGGCUCACCUAGGCGACGAUCCCUAGCUGGUCUGAGAGGAUGACCAGCCACACUGGAACUGAGACACGGUCCAGACUCCUACGGGAGGCCGCAGUGGGGAAUAUUGCACAAUGGGCGCAAGCCUGAUGCAGCUAUGCCGCGUGUAUGAAGAAGGCCUUCGGGUUGUAAAGUACUUUCAGCGGGGAGGAAGGGAGUAAAGUUAAUACCUUUGCUCAUUGACGUUACCCGCAGAAGAAGCACCGGCUAACUCCGUG